rnacentral:rRNA from 1 species
AAUAGAUACCCCGGUAGUCCACGCCGUAAACGAUGAGUGCUAGGUGUUGGGGGGACCCCCCUCAGUGCCGCAGGUAACCCAAUAAGCACUCCGCCUGGGGAGUACGGUCGCAAGACUGAAACUCAAAGGAAUUGACGGGGGCCCGCACAAGCGGUGGAGCAUGUGGUUUAAUUCGAAGCAACGCGAAGAACCUUACCAGGGCUUGACAUCCCGCUGACCGGUGUAGAGAUAUGCCUUUCCCCUUCGGGGGACAGCGGUGACAGGUGGUGCAUGGUUGUCGUCAGCUCGUGUCGUGAGAUGUUGGGUUCAGUCCCGCAACGAGCGCAACCCUUGUUUCUAGUUGCCAGCACUUCGGGUGGGCACUCUAGAGAGACAGCCGGUGAAAGCCGGAGGAAGGUGGGGAUGACGUCAAAUCAUCAUGCCCCUUAUGCCCUGGGCUACACACGUGCUACAAUGGCUGGUACAAAGGGCAGCGAACCCGCGAGGGGGAGCCAAUCCCAAAAAACCAGUCUCAGUUCGGAUUGCAGGCUGCAACUCG